rnacentral:rRNA from 1 species
AAUGAACGCUGGCGGCAUGCCUAACACAUGCAAGUCGAACGAAGGCUUCGGCCUUAGUGGCGCACGGGUGCGUAACGCGUGGGAAUCUGCCCCUGGGUUCGGAAUAACAGUUAGAAAUGACUGCUAAUACCGGAGGAUGACGUAAGUCCAAAGAUUUAUCGCCGAGGGAUGAGCCCGCGUAGGAUUAGCUAGUUGGUGUGGUAAGAGCGCACCAAGGCGACGAUCCUUAGCUGGUCUGAGAGGAUGAUCAGCCACACUGGGACUGAGACACGGCUCAGACUCCUACGGGAGGCAGCAGUGGGGAAUAUUGGACAAUGGGCGAAAGCCUGAUCCAGCAAUGCCGCGUGAGUGAUGAAGGCCUUAGGGUUGUAAAGCUCUUUUACCCGGGAUGAUAAUGACAGUACCGGGAGAAUAAGCUCCGGCUAACUCCGUG